GACGAACGCUGGCGGCGUGCCUAAUACAUGCAAGUAGAACGCUGAAGAGAGGAGCUUGCUCUUCUUGGAUGAGUUGCGAACGGGUGAGUAACGCGUAGGUAACCUGCCUGGUAGCGGGGGAUAACUAUUGGAAACGAUAGCUAAUACCGCAUAAAAUUGCUUAUCGCAUGAUAAUUAAUUGAAAGAUGCAAUUGCAUCACUACCAGAUGGACCUGCGUUGUAUUAGCUAGUUGGUGAGGUAACGGCUCACCAAGGCGACGAUACAUAGCCGACCUGAGAGGGUGAUCGGCCACACUGGGACUGAGACACGGCCCAGACUCCUACGGGAGGCAGCAGUAGGGAAUCUUCGGCAAUGGGGGGAACCCUGACCGAGCAACGCCGCGUGAGUGAAAGAAAGGUUUUCGGGACCCGUAAAAGCUCUGUUGUAAAGAGAAAGAAAC
rnacentral:rRNA from 1 species